GGUCAUUAGCUUCUCCAUAGUUGUUUUCAAUACUUACAUGUAUAGUUUGGAACUGGUUGGUUGCACAAGAGGUUCGUUUUGAUUAAAGCCUCUACCAUUGAGGAGAUAACAGCUGUACAGUGGCAAAUCUACAAAAUAGGUAGUGGUUUCUACAUCAGCUCAUUUUUGUGGAACAUUAUUCUUAAAUUUGUAAGAAUGACAAUCCAGGCAGCACAUUGAAGCAGCUUCAGAGAGACCACAUUAUGUAUAUAUACAUUUAAGAAACAGUUGAACUGUCCUGAAGGAAGAUUUGUAUUAAAUGCGUUCCCUUUUUUUGUGAGUAUAUUGCAUUAUCUUGAGCUGGCACAAACUUACUCAAACAUUUCUUUUGUGUUUCUGUUGGACCAGUAUUUGGUGUCAACAUUGUUCAUUGAAUAGCAGGCUUUUUUUCAGAAAGCCAUAAAAUGGAUAAAAAAGGGCAGGGAAGCAGCGAUGGGAAUAUUAAGAUAAGGAACUUCCAGCAAGGCCACAGUUACACUGGAGAGUUGUAGGGACAAAGAAAACAAUAACAUUUGUGCUACUUAGCACAUGGUAAUGGUGUUUAAAAAAAAUGUUUGUUUAUAUUUCAAGGGUUUGUCAUCAAAGUUUCCUUCUAUUGUUUGUGCUUCACAUUUGUAUCUUAGACACUUUCCUUUAAGAUGCUGAUAUCUACAAAAAUUAGAAAAACUGAUGUCCAAGAUCAGUCUAGGUCAGAUCAUACUGAAUAUGUGUAUUUUCCAAGUUGACAAUUUUAGAGACAGAAAAGGUUGUGAGAAGGAGGAGAAUGGAGGGGGGGAAAUUGGAGCAUUUCAUUCCAGAAGCAUCCUUAACAAAGGAAAUAAACUCUCCUGAAGUAGGCUCGCAAAAAGCAAGAAAUGCCCCUUUCUUCUUUCUACCAGAGAUUGGAAAUGUUUCUUUACAGAGAGAAAACUAUAAGGUAAGUGAAACCAUAAUACAGAUCCAUUCCUCCUUCCCAUUAUUCCAAAAUAGGGUCUGCCAAACCACUGUUAAAUGAGAAACAUGGUGAAAUCCUAAAGCUAAUAUAAAUACCCAUAAAACUGUUGCUUACCUGGACUUCCAUAGCUUUAAACCGCUUUUCUUGUUCUUUCAAUCCGCUAAAAUAUUUAGACAAAUUAUCCACUCUGUGGAAACAAAGCAGACAUGCUGAGCAAAAUGGAAAGGCCUCAGAAGAAAUCCUAAAACGCAAAACCCAUGUGACUUACUAGAGCCAUGGGCUCUCGCUGGACUGUGUAGAGAACUAUAUAGUGCCUCCAGAUUGUUAUACUGUCCACAGGCUUUCUGCAUACUUCACCUCUCCCAUCAGUUCCUUAUUAGCAGCUGAUAAUCUAUAGGGUGCUCCAAUCACUCUCUGCUUUGUCCUAACAGCUAUUUCAAAACUUCCUUCUAACAGAUUAUGUUCUGUUCAGGUCUGUGUGAAAAAGCUACCACUGGAUGGGUCUAAUGCAUUUUGGGAUGAGUGCAUUGCAAAGUUCAAAGAAUCACUUUCUGAGAGUUUCAUAAUAUCUCAGACCGACACUGCUGCCACCAAGAGCAAAGAUGAAAAGUCACGGGUUUAGCAGUGUUCAUCUGAACCUUUUCCUAUCUCUUUCUGGCUCUGAAAUAUUGUGAAGCCAGACUCUUUUCUUUUCCCCUCCAAGCAGUAGCUUAAUCUAGAAUGUACUAUCUAUAAAGUAUCCUAGUUUUAAAGCUAGAAAGAAUGUAAUUGUCCCCUUUGGAAGCAACUACACAUUUAUUACUUGACCUCAACAACUGAGCUCUCCUUCCUAGGGUUUGUCAGUGAUCUACUUAUGAGAAUAAAAUUUAAACCAGCAAAAUAGUUCUAAAUUACAAAGAAGUAGGAGUCUGUGUAGAUAAGAGGGAGAAGAGUAUUUUCCCAGAAUGUACUCUACAUUGUUCUGGUCACCAGCUAUUAGAUGAGUUAGACAGAUGGUGUUUGUUUUGAAAGACAGCAUGGAAAGAAAACAGGCAGCACAAGAAUGUUUCUAUGGAACUUAGGACAGCUUUCACACCCAUUGUGUCUGUAUUUGAAGUCAGUUUUAUCAUCAGAGGGAAAAGCUGAAACAGGUAUUAAAAGCUGCUUUAAAUAAUGCUUUGCUAUCUGAUUUUCAGUAUUGCCUUAGAUGUUUCUGUUUUCCUUGCAGGUAACUAUGUAGUGUCUCACUUAAAGGAGCAAACCUCUGAAUAAUAAUUUAGGAAUUUUCUUUAGAAUACUAAGCCAAUUUAAGUGAUAUUCUUAGUGAGGAGAUAUUUUAGAGAAGUAUUUAAAUAGAGACUCAAUUAAGUACAGUUUUAAAGCCAAUACCAUUAAUUUCUUGUGGAAAACUAGUCUCAUGCCAUAAAGCUAUAAACAGCUGUUCUUCUGCAUCUCUGGGCUGGGGGAUAAUUCAUGAUAUUUCAAAUUUCCGUUCAAAAGUCUAAUUCAAAAAUUUAUGUUGUAUUCCUACAGGGAAUGGAAGUACGUGCACUACGGUAUAGCAAAGGAAGUAUUUUUCCACCAUUUCUUCAUGAAUAUGAUGUUCACUGAGCUCAACUGCAGAUUUGGCUGGAGCUUACAGUAUGUCCUAGAAGAGUGUCAGGGUCUCCAGUUGCUAGAUGGUUGUUAUCAACUUACCCAGAUGUUCCUUUUUAUGUUCCAUUUUGUUGAAGAUUCUUCUGAGAACCAGAGUUAUGUGGUUAAUAAUGAUAAAUGGUGGUGCUAAGGCAGGCCGGCCAUGAUACUCAACAAUCAGGUUGUAGCGCUGAAUUUUCCAGAAGAUGUCUGUAUUGCCCUGAACAACUUGAAAAGUGUAACUGUAAUUUGGGAGGGGGGGGGGGAGGAAGGGAAAGGUAUAUAACUGUUUUUUACUGCAACAUGCUAAAGCUUAUUAUUACAAAAUUUAGUCACUCAUUUACUUUAAAAAAGGAACAUAAAGCUCAGCAAGUAGUGUUAAUUUAAUCUAAAGUUUGUGCAAAUGCUUAGAUAUUAAAAUAACUGCAGUUGCAGUCUUCAAAUAUUAACAAAUACAUCAGUUUUGUGGGGCUUUUUAAAAGAAAUGCAGUUCCACCUCAAACACUGUGUCAGUUCUUCAACCCAAUGAAUCAUUAUUAGCCAUGUUGACGUCAAGCAUUUCCUCUAUGUGCAGAUCACUCACUGUUAAAUCUGCCAAGUUUAGAGCUGCUUUGCACCUGCAGACUGGUGCUGCAGCACAGCCAGGGAUCCAGGACCUUCUAUGCAUGUUUAAUUGAAUGUUUAGAAGUAAAAGAGGCUUCUUGUCAUCUUUGCUGUGGCUUGAAUGAGGACGAUAACUUAAGAACUAUAUGAUCACAGAAGUCUACCUAUCAAUCCCCAAAUAACAUUAAUUAGGAAAAUUACUAGUGUACUCCAAAAUGAAUAGCCAACAGCAAUGUAGUAAACGUGGGCAUUCAGUUAAACCUUUACAGCCUCUGUCCUGAUACUUACUGAACUCACUCUUACCUGAACAUAGCAAUCAGAAGAUUCAUAAGGAGAACAUUCGUGACGAGUAGAAAGAUGACCAACAGAAGUAUGACCAGCCAGUUGGCAUAGCUAUUAGGACAUGAUGGCAAGUUCUUGUGCAGAAUCUCCAGUGGAUUAGAUGUACAGUUCCUGGGAUACAUUCGUGCUGCUGCAAAGGAUGAUAGAGAAACAAAAGAAUAGUUUUGACAAAUCCUAUUGACGUGUGAGUAGAGACAAAAGCUUUGCAUUUUGGGAAAAAAUAAUAAUCCGACUUUCAACAAAGAAUGGCAAGAAUCACAAAUUGUUCCUGAGGUUUGAAGUGAUGUACUUCAUAGCUUUUUCAAUGCAAAUAAAGACUGAAUUAAUAACUCUAAACAUGUCUUUUUUUAAGAACCAGCAACGUGAGUAGAUGCAUGUAUUUAGUACCUUUACUGUUAAGAUACAAAUCAAGGACAGUGAUAAUAAUGAUUACUAAAAUGAGAUUUAAUCUUGGCUACAUAUAAACAGCAGCAUAAUUUUGUUUGGAAUAUUUUACAGUCAUUAAAAUCUUAAAGCCAAUAUUGUGGUAGUAUUUUUGUACUGCCUUUGUUGACAACAGGACUCUAAAUAUGAGACUCUUAAACCCUAAAAGGACAGUUCUUUGACUGCUUGAGCUACUGAACUAAUUCUGCAGUUGAAAGAUCAUUUAUGUGAACUAAUAUCCAGUGUCUUAAACCUGUGAAAAUGUUAUGUCAUGUACAUGAAGAGACAUUGUUUUAAUGUGCAAGAGAUUUGCACCAGAACUUGGCUGCUCGUCAGUGGCAAGAUGGGUUGUCACAGCUGCUUUUUUAGUAACAUUCAGCAGAGGGGGAUUGUAUUGACAAGGCUGUAACUGUCUUUUUAGUAACAUUCGUCAAAGGAGGAUUGUAUUGAAAAGGCUGCAUCCUUUUAGACUAGUUUUGAGUUCCCAAAGUCAAACCACCUUUGAGUAUCAAACAGCUGUGUUCCCACACACACUUGUGUCUUCUCAGUCCUUAUGCUAGUAUGAAGGUUAGAAGAGAAAACACAGUAAAAGCUGGGAUGGGAUUCUUCGUUCUAAAUGUAAACUACUUUUUAUGUCUGGGCUUGCAGUCAAGUAUGUCUGGGCUUGCAGUCGAGGUUAGUAAGAAAGAUUCUACUGCAUCAGACUACAGGUCUAGUCCUGUAUCCUGUCUCCAGCUAUGAAUUAAAUCCACAAAUUUAGAGCGGCAUAAUGAUAUUUACUUUUUUGUUCUCCAUUUUUUCCCUAAUAAUUUUUUUCCUUACUGCCAUGGAUAACCUCACAAUCAUAUUCCUUAGAGCAGGCAGUUAUAUCAAAGCUCACAACAACUGGGACUGCUUUCACCAAGUACAUUACCUUGUAUUUAUCUACAAUGCAUUUCAUUUGAUGAUUUAGCACUUGUGAGGCUCCUCUGCAGCUCUAAGGUGACAGUUUUAGUUUUUACUACCCAGUAAUUCAGUUUUGCCAGCAAAUUUUGUCCCCCUCAUUACCUAUCUCCUUUUCUGUUUCAUAAAGAUGCUAAACAGAAUAAGCUUUAGAGGGCCCUAGGACAAACGACUCCCUUCUGAAGUUGCCCGUGUAACUAAUUAUAUUUUUUUCAUUGUCUUUUAACCAUUUAUUUAUCCAGGUGAAGACACCCCUUUGGAGUCUCAAUGGAGAGAAACACAUGUUUCUAGGGAAUCCUACCUCUGACCUAUGUCCAAAUAAGAUUAAUCCAAUUCCAAAUAUAUUUGUUUCUCUCCAAUUACUUUAAUGGGAAUAAGAGUGACUGGUUGUGCUGUGCAUGCUCGCGCUGUAGGCAUUUAAAGUUAAGUGAGAUGGAUCACACCUCUGCUCUUGUCUCACUUAGACAUUUUUGAGUUUUGUAAGACAUGCUUUUUCUUAUUAAGCAGAGCGAACAUAAAAGAAUGCUUACUGGUUUUCCUAUGUGUGUGGGAUAUUUUUUUUGUUCCUUCUAUGUUACCUCAAGUUUGAAUCCUGCUUCAAUAUUGCCACUGACAUUUAGCACUGUUAUUCCGGCAUAAUGCUGUGGCAUUACUUCAGACUUUUUUGGGAGAUGACCUAUUCUGUAUUUUACCUGCUUACCUAUCAGAAAUGUUGACUUUGAACUUUUAUGUCCAAGUAUUUCUGUGUCUUGUGAUUAUUUUUAUGUUUUUUUUGUUUGAAAUAUUGCACAUACGCCAUUACUAGCUUUAUUUGAUCUGGGCAGCUUUACCUCCAGAGUCAAUAAAAGCUUUAGAAUAAUAUUUAUUCUAAAACAUAAGUGUUUGCUUAUGGUCAGACCUGUACUGAUUUAAUACUGUCAUGUUAAGCUACUGCCAAAAUUUAUGGAGGGCACUAUUGUUUCAGAAUGUAUGCCAGCAUUUAAAACUGCAAAUCCUUGUGUGAAUAUUCCAGGCAGCUUGUCUAACUGUGCUGUAAUGUAAUUCCACAAUGCUGGUUGUCUCUUUGCAAAUACACUAUUCAUAUC